rnacentral:rRNA from 1 species
AGCAGCCGCGGUAAUUCCAGCUCCAAUAGCGUAUAUUAAAGUUGUUGCAGUUAAAAAGCUCGUAGUUGAAUUUCGGGAUCGACGGGUCGGUCGCGCCUCUGGUGUGUACUGGCCCUGUCGGUUUCUCCCUUCUGAAGAACCGCGAUGUCAUUAAUUUGGUGUCGUGGGGAAUCAGGACUGUUACUUUGAAAAAAUUAGAGUGUUUAAAGCAGGCAUUCGCUUGAAUACAUUAGCAUGGAAUAAUGAAAUAGGACGUUUGAUCUUAUUUUGUUGGUUUCUAAGAUCGACGUAAUGAUUAAUAGGGAUAGUUGGGGGCAUUAGUAUUCAAUUGUCAGAGGUGAAAUUCUUGGAUUUAUUGAAGACUAACUACUGCGAAAGCAUUUGCCAAGGAUGUUUUCAUUAAUCAAGAACGAAAGUUAGGGGAUCGAAGACGAUCAGAUACCGUCGUAGUCUUAACCAUAAACUAUGCCGACUAGGGAUCGGAUGAUGUUAAUUUUUAAUGACUCAUUCGGCGCCUUAC